rnacentral:rRNA from 1 species
UACGAAGGGGGCGAGCGUUGUUCGGAUUUACUGGGCGUAAAGGGCGCGCAGGCGGCAGAUCAAGUCAGACGUGAAAGCCCCGGGCUUAACCUGGGAACUGCGUUUGGGACUGGUUUGCUAGAGAUCGGGAGAGGAGAGUGGAAUUCCCAGUGUAGAGGUGAAAUUCGUAGAUAUUGGGAAGAACACCGGUGGCGAAGGCGGCUCUCUGGGCCGAUACUGACGCUGAGGAGCGAAAGCGUGGGGAGCGAACAGG